rnacentral:lncRNA from 1 species
GGGGUGGCGGCGCGCGAGCGGCUCAGGAGCCGCGCCGCAAACAGGCUCUCACACGCGCGCACACACACACACACACACACACACACACACACAGACACUCACACGCGCGCGCGCGAACACAGCGGGGCUCCCGGAGGCGGCGGUGGCCGCAUCCCCGGCAGCGACUCGCCUGGAAGUGACAGGUAGGAGAAGGCGCUUUGGGUCCCGCCCGGGGAUGCUCCCGCCGCUCCCAGCCCGCCGGGCUACUCGGCUUCCCGCGGGUGCGUCCCGGACGCGCGCGCGCGCCCCCGGUUGCCCUGCCGGGGACCCGGUGCAGGUGCGGGGUGCGAGGCGUCCUGCGCGGGAGGCAGGGGACCCCGCCGCCACCCGCCUCUCCGGCAAUCAUCUGCUACUGGGUUUCCUCUGCCUACCCGGACGUUCACCCUCUUCUGCGCUAGAAAUAGCUCGGCUCGACGUGUAUAUGAUUAUUUUGGUUGGAAAUAGUUGGCACUGUGCAACGCAUGUAAAUGUGUGUGCGUGUGCAUCUUCAGCGUCUUCUGGGGACAGCUUACGAAUGAUAGACCGUUUCCAGUUGACACUGACAGGCUAAGCGCUCCUUCAGGACAGUAUCUGGGCCUCCUAAAAGCAUGUAAAAGAACAUUGCUUUAUUUUCAGAAGUUUAAAGUUGUUUUUUCUUAGUCAAUUAGAAAUUGUCUAUAUUGUACAAUUUUUGAGUUUAGACUCAGUAAACUACUGAAUCUAAGUGUGAAAACACAGAAUUUUCCAAUUGAACAACUCUAGAGUUAUAAAGCCAGCAUUUCUAGAAAGGCAAAUGUCUUAUAUUCCACAAAUAUGCAUGCAUUUGAGAUAUGACUUUAAAAAAAUAACCCUAAACUUCUAUAGUGCUUCUUCCUAUUUCUCUAAAGCAAGGGGCUUGAGAUUUAAUUUGGGGCAAAACAUUCAUGGACAGUCGCCAUCUUUUGAAGUAGAAGUGGGAUGCAUAGUGGUCCAUAAAUUUAAAUUAUCCAUUGGUGGAGAUAAUGUGUUGAAUAAACAUGGCUAGCAGUAAAGUCCAUGCACAGGCAGGUGUAUAAUGCUUUGAAAAAAAUUGAAUUUCUCUUUUAAGGAAAAAUCAGACCAUAAAAUAAAGAUGACCAGGAAGAGCAACCAGUGACUUUUUACCUGGGUGGACUCCCAGGAUCUCAGAAAGUGAAGAACUACUCUUUAGGGUAGGAAGAUGUGUGUGUGUGUGUGUGUGUGUGUGUAAAAUUUCAACUUAAUCCUUUUAGUAUUUUUAAGACUGAUGUUUUUAAAGAUGUGUUUGAACUGAGAACCGAAUAUUUUGAACCCUUCAAACUUUAAUAUCCUAAGUUGCAGAGUGAUACAGAGGAUGAGAAAUUCCUCUCACUAGGAUUUUGUGGUGUAAUCCCUGACUGACUGUGUUAUGUAAUCUCGAAUUUUUCCCCCACAGAACAGUCUUGCAUAGUUUUCAACUGGUGUAUUGAUCUAUUAUAUCAUCUAUUUUUUUUUUUUACACUGUAGACAUUUAAUACAUGACUGGUGUCUUGGGGAGAACCUCGUGUAAGAAAAAAUUACUUUUAAAAUGGAAUUUCACUUUCUGAGCGUUUUUAUGUUGGUGAAACUGGUUUGACAGAAGGAGUGCAUCUUCACAUGUAACAGUGUGCUGCAGAGGGCUGAGUGUUGGCCUCCCAAGUGUGCUCUGCUCCCCUGCCCCCUCCCCGCUUUUAUUACUCAGCCAUCAGAACUUAGUUUUGAUUUAGCUUUGAUGAUAUCACUACCAGCUCUGAAUUAAUCGCUGUGGAAAUGCUGUUUUACAAGUAACUGUCAAAACAGAAUUUCAAAAGACUCCAUUUGAUCACAGAGAGCACAUUUACAUCUGUUGGAAUAAUUCUACUUUUACUUUACAAAUGCACACCCACGCAGGAGGGCUUUGUGCUGAAAUAUUCUCUUUUCCGAGCUUUAUAUUUGUAUCUUUUAAAAUGUGAAUGAUGUUAAAACUUACAUGCCUCGGAAUCCAGGCUUCGUGCUUACUUUCAUAGCUGAUAGGGAAAUAUGGGAAUU